GGGCGGGGAGGAGGCUGAGGCGGCAGCGGGAGGACGAGGACCGGGGGGGGGGGGGGGGGAAGGCCCGCCGGGGCGGCCUGGAGGCGGGAAGGAGGCGCACGGGUGCGAGCUUCCUCUGGAGAACGAGGUUUUCCAGAAGAAGGGGAUUUUAAACUAUGAUUUGAGGCACAGUAAGCAUGCAGAUGCUACGCGCAAAACCCCUCAAGAAGUCAGUUGACCAUUGAGUUAUGAAGUGGAAAACCCUCUUGCCACUACUGUCUAUGCUGAAAAAAUGGACCAUGAGGGACUGUCUCAGGGCUACAACUCUCUGGGAUGGAGCAAGACAAUCCACAACAGGAUGGGCAGACCUUGGAAGCAUGGACACUGGGCAAAGGAGGUUGUCUCCCUGAUGAUUCCACAUUUACUCUCCAAUGAACCAGAUACUACUCAGAGCCCAGUCAUUCUCUUUUUUGAGUGACAAUAUUGGAGGAGUAGAAAAGCACCAACAAAUUGGAUACAUCAUUCUUCAGACAUAAGAUAACCAGAAGGGAUGUCCAGAAUUUCAUUUUCAGCUGCCGGGUUCAAGGUUCUGGACAAGGGCUCUGUCAGGGUACACCCAUUCUGCAGUGCCACGACAACAAGUACAAGGUCCAAGGAAGGUAGUUGUCACCUUGCUCACCGAAGUCCGCUCACCACUGGCUCAUAACAGUUGUUCGGUGAUCAGUGUAGGGUGGGCAAAUUCACAAGUGCUUUGGUCAUAGCCUAGCUAACUAAGCAGUUCCUGUGUUUCUGUAAAGUUCACAUCUUUGGCACCCCAAAGUCAUUACCAGACUGACGGCUAUUCAGGAUCUUCCUUUCUUUUGCCUCCUUUUUCCAAAAAUAGUCUGGUACUUCUGGGUUGGAUAUGGUUAUAAGCCCACUCAAAAGAAAAAGAAGUAAAAUGUUAUCUAAAAAAAAAAAUUACAAAAUUAGUCUUCAGCGAAAAUCAACUUUCCAUUUAGCAAACAUUUGAGUUUUGCAAUUCUUUUUAUUGCUGUAAAGCCAAUAUAUAUGUGUGAAUAUUGUAAUAUAUUCAAGUAUUGAGCCUAAAACUCAAUCACUCAUCCCUCACUCAAUUUUUUAGACUGCAAAUAAUUUGGGACAAGGGCACCUAUUUGCUUAUGCAAUGUGGAACAUAGCGGACCUUCUAUACUUCUGCUCCCAAUGCAUGUAAACGUGACACAAUGACUUUCAAGAUAUAACCUAGCUUUAAUAUAACCUAGCUUUAGAUUUACGCUCUUGCAUUGUAACACAUGGGAAAUAAAUUUGAAUGCUGGAACUUUUUUCAUACUAAAAGUUGAGAAAAUUUGGGUUGUGCUAAUACAGAACAAAAACAAAGUUUGAAACCUUGAAAAUUACUGUGAAAAAGAAUUUCUCUCCUGCGCACUCCAGAAAGGAACUGAUUCUUGGCUUAGGUGAUUUCAAACAUACAGCUGUAUUUCCUCAUGACAAGGACACCUGCAGGCAAAAGAUAUGCACUAAAAAAUUGGUUUGAAAAUUCUAGCUACUCAGAAGUUUUCACAAAACAAUUUUUCUUUAAAUAAUAUCAAUCCACAAGCAGAAAAGUGAAAUCCAUCACUUUCAAAGUGUGUUGUAGGAUCAAGGAAGCUUACACUUCAUUAGCAAUUACAAAUUG